UGGCUUAUACUUGACUAUGGGCGAAGGGAUAUUUUUUCACUUAGACUGGUUGUGUAUGGUUAGAAUGAAAGCUGUUGAGAGAGGAAUUCGAGUUGUAAUGAGUAUUUUGGGAUGGAGGAAGUUGCUUCUGCCUGUCUGAGGGCACAUCAGAGCCCAGCCUCAUCAGUGCAAACAGCUGUGGGGGCUCCCUGGAGGGUGGUGUUUGGGGUGGGGAUGCUGAUGGAGGGAAAGCAGCUCAGUUUGCUCCCAAGCCUUUGGCUGGCCGCCCUAGCCCACCUCCAAGCCAGUGCAAACCCUGCCCUUGUUUCCAUGGAUAGGAUCCGACCUGUUCUUGCUACAGCUGCAGGAGAUGCGGAAGUGGGUGUUGGUGAGCACACAGGGGGCUCCUUCUUGCUCCUGCAAUGGACACAGCAAGAUCAACUCGGAAGCCUUCCUGAGUUCCAUGUGUUAGGGGGAGAAAAGUGCAUUGGUUUUGCCUGCUACAAGCAAAUGUACCUACUCUGCUAAAACUUUCCCUGGGAAAAGCUUCUCGGCUUCAGCAUGAAGGCUGCCGCUGUGUGCAGAAAACAGACACAGUGUAUGCAGUGGUGAUGGGUCAGGACAUGUCAAGGCUUGUGCAAGAAAAUGAAUGGGAUUUUCAAAGGGCAGGGGUGAUCUUCUGGAGCAGUUAAAGCCCUGAGCUAACCUUGACUUCUGAAAAAUAGGAGUUAUCAUGCUACAGGGUAAGGCAUUGAUCAUUUUACUUAUUCUCUGCCUUGUCUAGUUUUUCUUGAUCUGUCUGCAUUGGGAGAAGCAGCCCAUGGAGCUGUAUAAAGCUGUAUCCUUCUCCAUCCCAGGAGUAAAUGACAUGUCAGUGGCUUUCCUCAUUGUCCUCAGCUCUUCAGCAAUAGCAGAAGGUGCUGGGCUGAGGACUGGGGAGCACAAUAACCUGUGCUGCCUUUUUGAUUGGAGCUGUUGAGCACCAAAGGGAAAAAAAAGACACAAAGACCUAAAUAAAGGCGGAUACAAGUGUAGCUAGAUCCCUAGGAUGAAAUGUUUUGUUUGCCAUAGCACAGCUGAACUGCACACGGGUUUUUCUGUGCCAGGAAGGAUUUUUACAGGGACAUGGCUAAAUGGAGGCAGUAAAUUUAACUUUAAAGGACCAUGAAUUGAAGCUUUUGGAUAAAAGUUGAAGUACUGUUACUCUUUACUGGGCCCUUUUAACUUUGCUUGGAACAGGACAGUAUAUUUUACCUUGAAGGCCCCUGGAAGUUGAAGGCUCUGCCUGCAGGGCAGGCUCCUGGCAGCUGGGCCCAGUGGAGCAGCAGUCUGUGUCAUGGGAGCCGGCCCAGAUCUUCUGGGCAAAGGGGAAACACAAAGAGAUCCCACCUGGAUCUCCCUCAAGGAGAGUCGUGGGUUAAACUGCUGCUGGGUGGGGUCUG